rnacentral:rRNA from 1 species
UACGGGGGGGGCAAGCGUUGUUCGCAAUUACUGGGCGUAAAGGGCUCGUAGGCGGCAACUAAGUCGGAUGUGAAAUCCCCAGGCUCAACUUGGGAACUGCAUCCGAUACUGGAUGGCUUGAAUUCGGGAGAGGGAUGCAGAAUUCCAGGUGUAGCGGUGAAAUGCGUAGAUAUCUGGAGGAAUACCGGUGGCGAAGGCGGCAUCCUGGACCGACAUUGACGCUGAGGAGCGAAAGCUAGGGGAGCAAACGGG